CCAGUGGCUUAGAUGGUAAAGCAUCUGCCUACAAUGCAGGAGACCCAGGUUUGAUCCCUGGGCUGGG
rnacentral:tRNA from 1 species